rnacentral:tRNA from 1 species
GCCGACGUCGCAUAAUCCGGUAUUGCGCCAGACUUGAAAUCUGGUUCCCAUGGAAUUGGCGGUUCAAAUCCGUCCGUCGGCG